rnacentral:lncRNA from 1 species
GCCCAGCUAAGUGUUUUUAGUAGAGACAGGUUUCACCACAUUGGCCAGGAUGAUCUCAAUCUCUUGACUUUGUGAUCCGCCCUCUUCGGCCUCCCAAAGUGCUGGGAUUACAGGAUUACGUUCUUAAUAAACUUGCUUUCACUUGAUCUAUGGACUUUCCCUGAAUUCUUUCUUGCAAGAGAUCCUACAACCCUCUGUUGGGGUCUGGAUCAGGACUCCUUCCUGGUAACAUAAGUCAGGGGUUUUAGGAAAGAAUACAUUCUUGCCUUCCUUGCCAGCUGUUCAUCCAGGAACCACUCAAUUGUAUUUGGCUGAUUUACACUGACCCAACCUCUGCCCUCCUGAGCCCUGCAGAUUGCUUCAGGAAGCGUCAGUGCAGAAGGUUAUUUUUUGUAUUUAAUUUUUAAAUUCUUUCUAAGACUAAUCAAGCACAGAAGUGAUAAGGGGAGAAAAAGCAGAGUAAGGAGUUCAACUGGUAGCUAACUGUGAAUAUCAACUGAGAUAACUCACUACCUUCAGAGCAGCCCAGAAUGUUAAUUGUAUAUUUAAAGAAGAUAUGGAUAUUUCAAUAUAAAAAUCUCAAUGGGCAUGCAUGGGUGGUUCCUUCACAAGUUUGGGUUUUUUGCCUCUUAUUCACACAAGCUCAAUUGCUAAUUCACAUUGCCAACCUCAGCAGGGCAGCAGAUGUGUGUGCAGCCACACUGUGUGUUUGCGACACUCACGUACUGUUUUCAAGGUUACAGAAAUGCCGAGUGGACGAAUGGGUGGGGGAAGGGGGUGCUGGCCUGUAAGAUGAAGAUUCUCUACAGAGACUCUACUUACCCCGAAAGCAUCUCGAAUAUCAGGAUGCCGAGGGCCCACCAGUCCACGGCCCUUCCGUGGCCCUUGCUCUGAAUGACUUCGGGGGCUAGGUACUCGGGUGUUCCACAGAGGGUCCAAGUCCUAUAUGGGCGACAGAGACAGGCCCCCACAACACUCAGUGGUGCUUGGCUAAUGCAGUCACCUUAGAAGCUCUGAUUGUUACAAUAACUUCGUUGAGUAAAACCACGCUCCCUUUACCGUCUGUGCACAUAUUUUACUGUGUAAAGACAGUAACAUUGUUUUCACUGAUUCCUUUCCAUAGAAACAUUUCUUAUCGGGCUUGGAAACUAAGAAUUGGUUUUACCAUCCUUGCUACUGUUGCUGGUACUGUUACCACUGUUACUCAGAAGCAAAAAGACUCAGACUUUUUUGAGUUAUUUUUACCUGUCUUAGUAUAAAUCAUAAUGAAUAAAAUUAAUUAAAGGAAAAACAACGAGAUCAUGUCCUCUGCAGCAGCAUGGAUGGAGGUGGAGAGGCCAUUCCCCUAAGUGGACUCACAUCACGCACCAAAUACCACAUGUUCUCACUUAUAUGUGGGAGCUAAACACUGGCUAUACGCUGACAUGGAGAGGGGGAAAAACAGAUACCUGGGCCUGCCUGAAGAUGGAGGGUGGGAGGAGGAUGAGGAUGGGAAAUCUACGUGUCAGGUAUGAUGUGUAUUACCUGGGUGGCAAAAUAAUUCGUAAACCAAGUGGCAUGCAGUUUACCCAUAUAACAAACCUGCACAUGUACCUCUGAACCUAAAACGAAAGUUCUUAAAGUAAAUAUAUGAAUAAGUAAAUAAAAUUAAAUUUUAAAAAAUCCUUUAUCCUUCAAACAAACAAACAAAAAAGUGUCACUGAAAAGAAUAAUUCAAGAACUCAGUUAGGCCAGCUCAGUAGCUCAUGCCUGUAGUCCCAGCACUUUGGCAGGCCAAGGCAGGUGGAUCACCAGGCGUUCAACACCAGCCUGGCCAAUAUAGCGAAACCUCAUCUCUACUAAACAUACAAAAUUAGCUGGGUGUGGUGAUGCAUGUCUGUAAUCCCACCUACUUGGGAGGCUGAGGCAGGAGAAUCAGUUGAACCUGGGAGGCAGACGUUGCAGUAAGCCAAGAUCACACCACUGCACUCCAGCCUGAGCGACACAGUGAGACUCUCCCCACCCCCAAAAAAAGUGCAAGAGCAGAGUCCUUACUUGUAAUUGAGACUGGAUGGUCAGCAGAGCUUAUGUAUGUGUUCUUUCACUCUCUACCCUCUGCAAAAAAAAAAACAUUUCUUGCCCCCGGAAACCAGUGUAAAGACGGAAAUACACUUCCUCCCCUGCAUGCCAUUUUAAAAGUGCCUGCUUUGUGCUCCGAAAACAAAGGGGUGGCCUCAAGCAGGAAGCCAGUACUUCUUACCCUAAGAAAGCUCUGGAAUAAAAACUCACUUUCUUUACACUAGACCUUGCUCUUGCUAAUUGCACUCUGCAAAUGGCAAGGGGCUGAACCUGUGUUUUGGUUACAGAAGCAACUGCUAAACAAAGUCAGGGCAAUGUAACAAUGACUGUAGCAGAAGCUGGAAGACUCAUGGGCUGGAAAGGAGCUGAGUAUCAGUAACCUCAAAGAGGGGGCUGUGUCUAGGCCAUACUCCAUUGGCACUCUACUGCUGGGUAGAAUGUCGCUUCGGGCUUUCAGCAAUUCAGACCCAUAGCACACCUGCAGGCCACAUCCACCCUUCCUGACACAUGCUUCCUAGCCUGGUGUGUGGGGCCCGUCUGUAGACAGGCAGAAAGAAGCAACACCCUUGGAGGGGAAAAAAAUAUACAUGCUUUGCAAAGGCCCUUCUUUUUUAUAAUAUAUUUAUACAUAUGUAAUUUUUUUUUUUACAUUUUAAAAAAUAUAUACUUACAUAUUUUUUUGAAUGUAAAGAGAACAAAAAGCAAGUUCCAUAGAGCCUGGUAAUGUACAUGUUUAUCCACUCUCGAGUUCUUUGCACAAUGUUUCAAGCAUAUGCAAAGCCUAUUUUAUUCCCAGCACAUCUUACCUGAGUCUGCCCUGUUUGCGGUGGUGUGGGCACGUAUCUUGGCUUCAGCUCCUCACCUUCCUGCUUGCAGGAACCCACCCAAAUUGUUGUUACUGUUAUCUUUCCUUCGCUUCUCCACCACAUCUCCAUACCCACCUCUUUUCCGACAAGAGACUUUUCCACAUUAAUCUGUAAGCCCUUGGGAUAACAACAAACUGGCUGCCAUCCAAAUUUCAAAUUCUGUCGGCCAUCCAUGAAAUAAAAGUACCACAAGGCCAAGCAUGGUGAUUCACACCUGUAAUCUCAAUACUUUGGGAGGCUAAGGCAAGAGGAUUGCUUGAGGCUAGGAGCCUCAGACUAGCUUGGACAACAUAGCAAGACCUCUUCUUUACCAAAAAAAAGACCAAGAACGGUGUCAUGCCUGUCAUCCCAGCACUUGGGGGGGCAGAGGCAGGUAGAUCACCUGAGGUCAGGAGUUUGAGACCAGCCUGGCCAACAUGGUGAAACGCUGUCUCUACUAAAAAUACAAAAAUUAGCAAGGCAUGGUGGUGAGCGCCUGUAAUCUCAACUACUUGGGAGGGUGAGGCAGGAGAAUCACUUGAACCCAGGAGGUGGGGGUUGCAGGGAGCCAAAAUUGCACCACUGCACUCCAGCCUGGGUGACAAGAGCGAAAUGCCAUUUCAAAAAAAAAAGCCAGGCAUGCUAACAGGUGUUUGUAGUGUCAGCUAGUUGAGAUGGGAGGAUCACUUGAGCCCAGGAGUUCAAGGCUACAGGGAGCAUGAUAGUACUACUGCACUACAGCCUGGAUAAGAGAGCAAGACCCUGUCUCAAGGGAAAAAAAAGGAAAAGAAAAAAAGUACUGCAGGCUCUGGGAGAUACAAGUCAGGAAAGAAAGAAACAAGACAAGGAGAGAAAUUAAGUUACCUUCCCAUGGAGGAAUGUGGGAAGGGGCUUACUUUAUCUGCAUGCUAGAUCUAAGCAUGGAACAAGGAUCCCCUUGUGGUCCUAUUAAGUGCUUCUCAUUCAUUAGACUUAAGUCUACAAAAGGAAAGUACAAUGCACAUUAUUUUAGAAACAUCCUCUCCCCUGCCCCUCCCAGCGGAAUCAACUCCAAGUACACCCUAGUUGAUUCAAUGCAUAACAUUUCUGUUACUCUGCAAGACGACUGACUUAUUGGCCUACUAAUUUUGUAUUUUCACCUUGCUAGCCCAUCCAAAAUGGCCUGAAAGUAGCUAAAAGCAUAGAACUUAGCUGAUAUGAACCCAAAGUAGAAGUGGCCGCAAGUCACCCUAUAGGCAUUUAGUUGCAACUUCCACUUACCUUUAAAAAGAUGAGGCUCUUUUUGGCUCCAUGUUAGGGUAAGGACACACACCUAAGGUUGUAUAAGUAUCCAGGUUCUAACUUGCCUCAGGAGGACUCCUGCCCUGUUAGAAUCAAUCCUUCCUGCAAAAAGCCCCAAUGCCUAGCUGAAAGUACAGAGAGACAUGCGCUGCUAUGGAGAGAUGCUGACUGCGUGAAUGAAUAUGAGAUGAGACAGCCUGAGUGCUAUGUGGAGACCACUGGUCGGGGCAGUGAAUUAUCCACUUCCCUGCUCCUAUCUCCUUUUGCUCACCUGGCUUUUGGGUAGAAGGAAGGUGACACCUGCUGUUCUCAGUUUUCUCACUGUUCUUAGUUUCACUAUGGCCGGCGGGAGGGGAAGGAGGAGGCCAUGUUAACGAAGGAGAAACAGAGCUAAGGAUAGGAUUAUCUAUGAAGUAUAGAUAUCCAAUGACUCCUGUGUUCUUAAUGCCCAUGCCUUCCGUCACACCUGCACUGGCUGAACUGUGCACUCCCCAAAGUCCUAAACCCCAGUAUUUGUGAGUGGGACCUUAUGUGCAAACAGGAUCUUCGUAGCUGCAAUCAAGUUAAGAUGAGAUCAUCCUGGCUUAGGAUGGGGAAUAAUUGCUUAACAGAUACAAGUUCUCUUUUGGGAUCAUGAAAAUGUUCUGGAACUAGACAGAGGUGAUGGUUGUACAACAUGGUAAAUGCAAUAAAUGCCAUGAGAUUGUGCAACUUAAGAUGGUUCAAAUGGGCUGGGUACAAUGGCUCAUGCCUAUAAUCUCAAUGCUUUGGAAGGCCAAGGUAGGAUAACUUGAGCCUCAGAGUUCCAGACCAGCCUAGGCAACAUAGCAAGACCCUGUCUGUACAAAAAUAUUUAAAAAUUAGCCAGGCAUAGUGGCUCACACCUCUAGUCCCAGGUACUCAGGAGGCUGAGGCAACAGGAUUGUUUCAGCCCAGGAGUUGGAGGCUGCAGUGAGCCAUGAUUGCACCACUGCAUUCCAGCCUGGCUGACAGAGCAAGACCCUGUUUCAAAAAAUAUAAAAAUGUAAAUAAAUAAAGAUGGUUACUAUGGUACAUUUUAAGGGUAUUUUACCACAAUAAAAAGAGAAAAAGAGAGAGAAAUGGAUGACAUCUCCCAGUUCAGUUUCAGUCCAGUCCCUCUUACGUCCUAGCAGGUGGCGUCACCAGCCUCACUUUCUGUCUCUCCUCAUGGCUUUACGACAUGGUAAGCAUGUCACUCAGCUAACAGGGGCACAGUGGGGCUCAUGAAGAAUAUGGACAGCUGAUGACAGCUUUUACUCUUGAUUACAGAAACGAAUGGAUUUUUUUCCUUUUUAUCAGAAAAGUAUGAGAGUGUUUUCUCUACAUUUGGUAAUGCAGGAAAUAGAUGUUAGCUCAGUACUCAUGAUGAAAAUACUACACGCCUUUUCUUAUAGGAUCUUGGGUUACAAUCAAGAAGCAGGGUGUGGGGGUUUCUCAGAAAAAGGAAAGUUUUUCAUCGUUGUUUUUCUACAGGGACACAAUCACAGUUCCUAGAACUGUCUGAUGGGAACAAACAGUUGAGAAUUUCAGGACUGUCAAGGGAGAAGGUACAUGUCCGCAAGCAUGGGACAGCUUCCGAUGGCCAGCCCAGGCCCUGGGAGGGGUUUCCUAGGCGACUAUGGUUCCGAAACACCACUGACCAGCAGGGAGAAGGGUGCCUGUCACCAACCUCGGCACAGUAAUACCCACCUCCUAGUAUGAAUUAUAGCAAAAUUAAACAGGGCUGAAGGGAAAGUAACAACACUGACUGCAAACAGACUCGACAUCUCAGGCCCUCCUUGGCUUCCAUUAAAUACUCAAAAGUAAGAAGCUAAGGGAAAACGUCCAAAGUAAGUAGAAAGACUUUUCUGAUGUUAUGAAAUAUAUAUAAAAUAAUUAUGUAUUUAUAAAUGUAUACAUUUAAAUUUGAACAUAUAAUCUAAACAAUAAAUGUGUAACACAUACUAAUAUAUAAAUUUAAAUUUAAAAAAUUAUAAAUAUACAUUUAUAAAAUUAUAUAUAGAAAACUAUGGAUACUGUAUAAUUAUAGCUACAUAUAACUUUCUAAAUAUAUAUUUAUAUCACAAUUUAUGAGCAUAUAAAAGUAUUUAGUAGUUUAAUUACAUAUGUAACAUUUAAUUAAAUAUAAAGUAUCAGUUUAUUAUAUAAUUAUAUUAAAUAUAUAUUUUUAAAAUAUAAUUAUGUUUAAAAAUUACAUUGUAUUUGUUUCAAAUAUAAUCGGAAUAUAUUAUAUUAAUACAUUAUGUUAUCUUAAUUAACACAUUACAUUAAUAUAUUUAUAUAUUAAAUUUACAUAUGAAUAUAUUUAAAUAUUUAACAUAUUAAAGAGAUAAAUAUAUUUAAAUAUAUAAAUUUAAUACAGGAUAUAUUAUUUAUGUCUAAUUAAAUAUUACAAUUAUGUAUACAGUUAUUUGGUAAAAUACAUCUAUCAUAAAAUUUUCCAUUUUAAUCAUUUUUAAGUGUAUGGUUCAGUGGCGGGAAGCCUAUCAACCUUGUUGUGCAACCCUCUCUACCAUCCAUUGGUGGAACUUCAUCAUUCCAAACAGAAACUCCCUCCUCAUUAAACAGUAUCUCCCCCUUCCCUGCACCUCCCCAGCCCCUGGCACCCACCAUCUACCUUCUGUCCCUAUGACUUAGAAGAAUCUAGGGCCCCUUUUUUGUCUAGCUUAUUUCAUCCCACAUCAUGUUUUGAAGGUUUACCAAUGUGGAGUAGAAUGUGUCAGAACUAUAUUCCUUUUCAUGGUCAAAUAAUACUCCACUGCAAAAAGUUCCUGGUCAAUUUAAAGUUCCUGGCUCAGGAGUGGGCAAAUAUUCUCUCUAAGGAGCCAGAUGGCAAAUACUUUAGGCUUUGUAGAUCACAUGGUCUCUGUUAGAAAUAUCCCCCAAGAUGUGCCUGUGUUCCAAUAAAACUUUAUUAACAGACAUACAGCAGGGUGGAUUUAACCUAUGGAAGGCUAAUUUUUUUGUUUCUGAUGUUUUGCAGAGAUGAGGUCUUGCUAUGUUGCCCAGGCUAGAUUUUUUUCCUAAAAAAAUUAGUUUGGUCAGAUGUGAUAAUGCAUUGAAUUUCUUUUUUAAAGGGAGAUAUCUAUUAGAGAUAGGAUGGAGUGCAUCUGCUUUAAAAUAACUCAACAAACAAAUGGGCAAAGAGAAAGAAACCAACAAAGUGGCAAAGCUUUGAUAACAAUCGAAACUGGGUGAUGGGACCACAAGGUUUCAAUAUGAACUACUCUCUAUUCCUGUGUGUGUUUGAAAGGAUUAAGUAGAAAUUUUGAAAGAUUAGGUUCAAUAUUACCCCUAGAUGCUAGAAAUAAAAACCCAGAGGACAGUAAUCAAUGUAACAUCUGGACUUAAAAUGCUACAACAGAAGAACUAGGAAAGAGCUGUUGCACCCAAUGCAGUGGCUCACGGAUACCAUCCUGGCACUUUGGGAAGCCAAGGUGGGAGGAUCACUUGAGGCCAGGAGUUCAAGACUAUCCUGGUCAAUACAGUGAAACCCUGUCUCAAAAGAAACACAAAAACACACACAAAAAAAACAAAAAAUUGUUGUAGAGAAAUAAAAAACACCAAAAACAAACAAACAAAAAAGAACUGUUGGAGAGAAAGAAAUCAUCUGUUAUAGUUUAAAGACAGGUGUAUACAAGUUGAGCAUCUUUAAUCCAAAUCUGAAAUCUGAAAUGCUCCAAAAGUCAAUACUUUUCCAGCACUGACAUGAUGCUCACAGCUCAAAGGAAAUGCUCACUGGAGCACUGGAUUUCAAAUUUUCGAAUUAGGGAUGCUCACAGGUAAAGGUAAUUCAAAUAUUCCAAAAUCUGAAAAAACCCAAAACCCAAAACAAUUCUGGUCUCAAGUAUUUCAAAUAAGGGAUGCUUGUGUUAUGCAUUUGACUUAGAAAAUCAUAUUAAAUGCAUCAGUAUUUUAUUUUGACCAUUUCAUAAAACCAGAAAUAAUUCUAGUUUGCCAUCAAGUCUUUUAGGGGAGCUAUCCAGAUAAUAUAUAAUAAAGUGUGUGUACAAAAUAUUUAAAAUACAAACAUAAGAAAUACUGCUGUUAGAAAACAAGAGCCUGACGAAAGCAAGCCACAAAAGAAAAAGAAAACCAUCUCAACAUAUUGACAACCUAGGAAAGCCAAAUACCAAGUCACCAUGAGCAGUGGUUUAAAAUAAGUAUUAUACGAGUCAUUCAGUUAACAGGAUAAAGAAAGAAAAGAGAGGAAGAGGGAGAGUAGAGGAAAAGAGAAGAGAGAAAAGAAAUAAAAAAAAAAAGGAACAGGGGGAAGGGGAGUAGAGGAGAUGGGCAGGGAGGGGAGGGGAGGGGUGGAAGGGAGGGGAGGGGUGGAAGAGAGGGGAGGGGAGGGGCACUGCGCCUCCCACCUGUCAUCGCAAAACUUUGGGAGGCCAAGGCGGGAGGACUGCUUCAGCUUAGGAGUUAGAGACCAGCCCUGGCAACAUAGUGAAACCCCAUCUCCAUAAAAAAUUAAAAAAUUAGCCAGGCACGGUGGUACAGGCUUGUAGUCCCAGCUACUUGGGGGGCUGACACAGGAGAACUGCUUGAACCUGGGAGUUCCAGGCUGCGGUGAGCCAUGGUCUCACCACUGCACUCUAGCCUGGGUGACAGAGCAAGACCCUGUCUCAAUAAAGAAACAAAAAAGAAAGACAGAGAUUCAUGUAGUGAGUAGAAAACUUAAUCACAACAUGCUUAAAUGUGUUUUUACCCCAUGCUAUAAGAGAAAAAUGAAAACGUUACCUUUCUGGGAAACGUUCAAAAAUGUUAUUCAAGACCUGGUGCGUUGGCUCACACCUGUAAUCCCAACACUUUGGAAGGUCGAGGUGGGCAGAUUACAUGAGAUCCGGAGUUCAAGACCAGCGUGGGCAACGUGAUGAAACCAGGUCUUUACUAAAAAUACAAAAAUUAGCCAGCUGUGGUGGUACAUGCCUAUAAUCUCAGCUACUUGGGAGGCUGAGAAGGGAGGACUGCUGAAGCCCAGGACGCUGAGGGUGCAGUGAGCUGAGAUCCCACCACUGUACUUCAGCCUUGGUGACAGAAUAAGGCCCUGUCUCAAAAAAAAAAAAAAAUAAAAUAAUAAUAAUAAUAAUAAUAAAACAUAAAAAAUAAAGGCCAGGCGCAUUGGCUCACACUUGUAAUCCCACCACUUUGGGAGGCUGAGGGGGCAGAUCAUGAGGUGAGGAGUUUGAGAUCAGCCUCACCAACAUAGUGAAACCCCAAAUCUACUAAAAACACAAAAAUUAGCUGGCUGUGGUGGCGCGUGUCUGUAAUCCCAGCUGCUCAGGAGGCUGAGGCAGGAGAAUCACUUGAACCCCGGAGGCAGAGGUUGCAGUGAGCCAAGAUUGCACCACUGCACUCCAGUCUGGGCAACAGAGUAAAACUCCAUCUCAAAAAUAAAAAAAGUCAUUCAUGAUGAAGCCUCCCUGUUUACUUCCAUCUAUUCUGUAGUGGUCCACAGUACACUGGUAAAUUUCUUUUAAGUUUUAUUCAAAAAGUACAUGUACUGUUUGAAUCCUGAACCAGGGGCAGGGCCAUCUAUCUGCCCAUGAACACAACUUCCUUGGGGCCAGGCCAGAAGAGAAAUGUUUUGUUAGAAAGAAGGUCAAAAAAAAAAAAAAAAGGAGAAAAAGCCCACACACAAAAAAGUUACAGAAGCUACACUACCCAUACAGAGAAAGAUGCAGUUCUUUGUAAAAGCAACCUAUCAGUGGCUCAUGCCUGUAAUCCCAGCACUUUGGGAGGCAGAGAUGGGUGGGUCACCUGAGGUCAGGAGUUCAAGACCAGCCUGGCCAACAUGGUGAAACCCCGUCUCUACCAAAAAUACAAAAAUUAUUCAAGCAUGGUGGUGGGUACCUGUAAUCCCAGCUACUUGGGAGUCUGGGGCGGAAGAAUUGCUUGAAUCCAGGAGGCAGAGCUUGCAGCGAGCUGAGAUUGCACUACUGUACUCCAGCCUGGGUGACAGAGCAAGACUCUGUCUCAAAAACAAAAACAAAAAAAGAGAAAGCAAUAUAUCAAGAUGGUAAUGAAGCAUUUUCUAAGAUUUUCGCAUGUUCAUUAAGUAAAAUAAUUGGUGCACGUUAUAUAGUAAACCAUUUCAUCCAUUUAAUCUUAAAUAGACAUCAUGAAUUAACUGGACAGUAACACGGUUUGUCAAAUUUAUAAACAAGUGAAUAUAUGCAAGAUUUUAUCUCUGGUUUGUUGAAUUAGACUUCCAAAUAAAAUAACAAAAGAAGAAUUUACGGCCAGGCAUGGUGGCUCACGCGUAUAAUCCCAGCACUUUGGAAGGCCAAGGAGGGUGGGUUACUGGAGGUCAGGAUUACAAAACCAGCCUGGUCAACAUGGUGAAAACCCAUCUCUACUAAAAAUACAAAAUAAGCUGGGCAUGGUGGUGUGGGCCUGUAUUCCCAGCUACUAAGGAGGCUGAGGCAGGAGAACUGCUUGAACCCGGGGAAGCAGAGGUUGCAGUGAGCCAAGAUGGCACCAUUGCAUUCCAGCCUCAGGUAACAGAGAAAAACUCUGUCUCAAAAAAAAAAAAAAAAAAAAAAAAGGACUACACAUUGGAUACAGUGUAUACUGUUUGGAUGGCAAGUACAACAAAAUCUCAGAAAUCACCACUAAAGAACUUUUCCAUGCAACAAAGAAAACAAAAAAAAAUUGUUCCCCAAAAGGUAUUGAAUUAAAAUAAAAUCAGAAAAAAAAAAAAAAAAAGGUGGGACUUUCAUGACGGGAAUGGGACUGCUGGCUUUAUAAGAAGAGGAAGAGAGACCUGAACUGACACCUUUCCUCUUUCUGCCCAUGUCCUGGCUUCGGCCACAUUACAGCAUAGCAACAAGACCCUCACCAGCUGCAGCCCUUUGACCUUGGACUUCUCAGCCUCCAAAACUGUAAGAAACACACUUAUUUUCUUUAUAAAUAAAUUUUUUAAAAAAGAAGACUCUGAGCAGUCAGGCCUGACUGGAUUUCCCCACUCAGUCUAUUCCCAUCAGCUCAUACACUUUUUUCCAAUCACAUUUCUACAUGGCUGUCCCUGCUUCACAGAACCUAAGCAUAAAAAUAGACAGGUUUUUUUUUUGAUUUUGGUAUCUUUGGGUGUUCAUUCUGGUUUUACAUGAUGCAUCAUGUAAAACUAUGAUCAAAUAAAUUUGUCAGGCUUUUCUCGAAAGGGAGGGGAGGGAGGACCCAUUCUCUCUCUCUCUUUAGAUGGGGUGUCUCACUAUGUCGUCCAGGCUGAUUUUGAACUCCUUAGGCUCAAGCGAUCCUCCCACCUCAGCAUCCCAUAGUGCUGGGAUUACAGGUGUGAGCCACCAUGCCCGACCAGAUCCAUUAUUAUUUCUGAUGAGAAUCGGCACCCUGAUAUAAAUGAACUGUGUGUGUAAAAUAAACAUGGGAUUUCAAAAACUGAGCAGGAAAAAUUCAUGUAAAAUAUCUCAAUUUUUGUAUGAAUCGUAUGUUGAAAUGAAAAUAUUGUGGAUGUACUGAAUUACUGAAAUAAACUACAUUAUGAAAAUUUUCUCCACCUGUUUGUUUUAUAUUUUAACACAUGACUACACUAGAAAAUUUAAAAUAACAGAUGGGAUUUGCGUUGGACUUCUACUGGACAGUGUUGCCCUAGAUAAAGAAAAAUUUUAGGAGCAUACAUUACUAAAACUGUCUGGAGGCAGAAAACACCCCUCUUUGUCUUUGUAAAUGGAGUGGUUGUGACUGCAUGUUAUUAUCAGUGCUGUGGCGGUGUUAGAAAGAACACAGCCCAAUCUCUCCCCAGGUCUGUGUGGGCAUCUCUAACACGUCAUCCUACCAGGCAAUAUGGUGGGCACACAGGACAGAGAAAAGAGAAUUUGUGUUUCAAUAGGGGUACUGACAAAAAAGAAACAGAAACAAAUGAACCAACACAAAAUAACUCAAAAACAAAACACAUACACAGACCAGAAUUUUAAUCGAUGAGAUGAAGGAGAGAAAAUGCCAGGAUAGAGAAGGGAAAGAUCCACUCAUUCACCUACAGACAUAUCCCUCCCCCUAUUAUCUUCUUUGGACUAAAAGUCUAGGCUGGGCCCAGUGACUCAAGCCUGUAAUCUCAGCACUUACAGAAGCUGAGGAGUCAGGGGGGAUUCCUUGAGCCCAAAAGUUCAAGACCAGACUGGGAAACAGCAUAGUGAGAACCUGUUUCCAGUUUUUAGAAAAUUAAAAAAUAGGCAAUGGCUCACGGUUGUAAUGUCAGCAUUUUGGGAGGCUGAGGUGGGCAGAUCACGAGGUCAGGAGAUUGAGACCAUCCUGGCUAACACGAUGAAACCUCACUUCUACUUAAAAAAAAAAAAAAAAAAAUACAAAAAAUUAGCCAGGCAUGGUGGCGGGCACCUGUAGUCCCAGCUACUCAGGAGGCUGAGGCAGGAGAAUGGUGUGAACCUGGCAGGCAGAGCUUGCAGUGAGCUGAGAUCAUGCGACUGCACUCCAGCCUGGGCAAGACAGCGAGACUCCUUCUGCAAAAAAAAAAAAGAAAAAAGAAAAAAUAGGCCAAAAUAGGCCAGGCACAGUGGUGGCUCAAGUCUGUAAUCACAGCACUUUGGAAGGAAAGCCAGCGGGUCACCUCAGAUGAGUUCGAGACCAGCCUGGCCAACAUGGUGAAACCCCGUCUCUACUAAAAAUACAAAAAUUAGCCAGGCGUGGUGGCUCACGCCUGUAGUCCCGGCUACUCGGGUGGCUGAGGCAGGAGAAUGAUGUGAACCCAGGAGGCAGAGGUUGCAGUGAGCUGAGAUCACAGAACUGCACUCCAGCCUGGCGACAGAGCAAGAUUGUGUCUCAAAAAAGAGGAAAAUUUAAAAAACAAUAAUAAUAAAAACAUCUAGACUUGCCCUCAAAACACACCUUUAAGGCCAAGUGAAGCCCUUUGUGUAAACAGUAUUGUUCUUGGCUUAACUGGGUGGGAUUUAAAAUAUUAACAGUUCUUUUCUCCUACAUAUUAAACAGUGCAUGUUCAUUAUAUAGACAAUACACUCUCUAGAGAGCCCAGCACCAAAACAGACACACAAGGCACCACAGUGGCUUUGCAAGGACAAUACCUCCCAUAUGCUGAACACUAUACAAUUAAACAAUUGUCCCAGUUUGGCAUAGCAUUCUGGACCAUUGAGGCGAAUUAAGCCAAAAGGCCCUUUACCUCAUAAACUAUGUAAGAUUAGAUUUUAUAAAAUAAUUCUUGGCCAGGUGCAGCAGCUCAUGUCUGUAAUCCCAGGCCGAGGAGGGCAGAUCACGAGGUCAGGAAUUUGAGAACAGCCUCACCAACAUGGUGAAACCCCGUCUCUACUAAAAAUACAUAAAAAUUAGCCGGGCAUGGUGGCACGCACCUAUCAUCCCAGCAACUCAGGAGGCUGAGAGGCAGAAGAAUCGCUUGAACCUGGGAGGCAGAGGUUGCAGUGAGCUGAAAUCGCACCACUGCACUCCAGCCUGGGCGACAGAGUGAGACUCCAUCUAAAUAAAUAAACAAAUAAUAAAA